CGCAUUAAGCACUCCGCCUGGGGAGUACGACCGCAAGGUUGAAACUCAAAGGAAUUGACGGGGACCGCACAAGCGGUGGAGCAUGUGGUUUAAUUCGAAGCAACGCGAAGAACCUUACCAAAUCUUGACAUCCUCUGACCCCUCUAGAGAUAGAGUUUUCCCCUUCGGGGGACAGAGUGACAGGUGGUGCAUGGUUGUCGUCAGCUCGUGUCGUGAGAUGUUGGGUUAAGUCCCGCAACGAGCGCAACCCUUAAGCUUAGUUGCCAUCAUUAAGUUGGGCACUCUAAGUUGACUGCCGGUGACAAACCGGAGGAAGGUGGGGAUGACGUCAAAUCAUCAUGCCCCUUAUGAUUUGGGCUACACACGUGCUACAAUGGACAAUACAAAGGGAGCGAAACCGCGAGGUCAAGCAAAUCCCAUAAAGUUGCUCAGUUCGGAUGUAGUCUGCACUCGCUAUAUGAAGCUGAUCGCUAGUAUCGUAGUGUGAUAU
rnacentral:rRNA from 1 species